CAUCCACCAUUGGGGAGGCAGGGGUCGCUAGAUCCGGCGGCCCCGACCUCCCCGUUGGCGGUUG
rnacentral:pre_miRNA from 1 species